rnacentral:ncRNA from 2 species
AUAUGGGAAUGAAGUUCUCCCUCGGCGUUGCCGAAACCGCUUUAUAAAGCUAAUGACUUCUGCAUUUA